rnacentral:rRNA from 1 species
CACCUCUAGCAUUACCAGUAUUAGAGGCACUGCCUGCCCAGUGACAUUAGUUUAACGGCCGCGGUAUCCUGACCGUGCAAAGGUAGCAUAAUCAUUUGUUCCUUAAUUAGGGACUUGUAUGAAUGGCCCCACGAGGGUUUAACUGUCUCUUACUUUUAAUCAGUGAAAUUGACCUUCCCGUGAAGAGGCGGGAAUACAAAAAUAAGACGAGAAGACCCUAUGGAGCUUAAAUUAAAGUGUCCAACAAAAUUUAAACUUAAUCCAACAGGAAUAAUAACAUUUUAACUGGGCAACAAAUUUUGGUUGGGGUGACCUCGGAGUAUAACAAAACCUCCGAGCGAUUAUAACCAAGACUUACCCGUCAAGGUGUCAUAAUUUAUUGAUCCAAUCAUAUUGAUCAACGAAACAAGUUACCCUAGGGAUAACAGCGCAAUCCUAUUUAAGAGUCCAUAUCGACAAUAGGGUUUACGACCUCGAUGUUGGAUCAGGACCCCCAAAUGGUGCAGCAGCUAUUAAAGGUUCGUUUGUUCAACG